GUUUUUGUUUGUUUUACGCCAACAUGGCGGCGUCCAUAAGCGAAGCCGCGCCCGCCGUAGAGAUGACGCCGAUAUGUUUGGGCUUUUGGGACGGCGGCGUUUAUGUCCGCUGUCGGCGGGCGUGGAAGACGCGGCACUUGUACGCCUUCGGAUGUUAGCUGUUUUAAGGUUGCAUGAGAUGGCGGCAAGCACUGUGUUCAUGUCUUUGCUGCUCAAGGUCGUCACAAUGGGCAAAGUUGUAGCACAAAUGACGGACCCUCGUUGGUGUUCGCCCAGCCGUACGUACUUUGCUAACAGCCGCCCUACUGCUCGUUCACCGUCACCCCAACCACGCCGCUAUUCCAUGCUGACCAACUAAGUAUCAUCUCGGACGGAAAACGAGAUCAUGCAGCUCCUAGAGCAGAGAGCCAGAAGACUGCACUGGAAACUCCAUUCAACACCAUAUUGCAGAACAUACAGUGAUGUGACCCCAAGGCCCCCCGAGUAUUUUCUGACAUUGUUCCCACUAUUGCAAUAAAUGAUGAGAUCACACACACUCUACUAGAAUAA